rnacentral:lncRNA from 1 species
UCGAGUUCUUGCUAAUUUCAUUUUUUGAUUCCGUUUUGAAAUUCCUUUUUUUUUUUUAUUUUUUUUUAUUCCGAUUCUAUCUACCCAUUCGAAUUAUUUGGGUUGCUAACUCAACGGUAGAGUACUCGGCUUUUAAGUACGGCUAGCAUCUUUUACACAUUUCUAUGAAGCAAAGAAUUCGUCCAAAUCUUCGGGAGAGUUUGUAAGACUGCGACUGAUCCUGAAAGGAAUGAAUGGAAAAAACAGCAUGUCGUAUCAAUGGAUAAUUUUGAGAAUAUUUUAUUCUUG